ACUCCUACGGGAGGCAGCAGUAGGGAAUAUUGGACAAUGGGCGAGAGCCUGAUCCAGCCAUGCCGCGUGCAGGAAGACGGCCCUCUGGGUUGUAAACUGCUUUUAUAUGGGAAGAAAAGGGCUUUGCGAAAGCACCAUUGACGGUACCAUAGGAAUAAGCCACGGCUAACUACGUGCCAGCAGCCGCGGUAAUACGUAGGUGGCGAGCGUUAAUCCGGAUUUAUUGGGUUUAAAGGGUGCGUUAGGCGGCUUUUUAAGUCGGUGGUUAAAGGUAGCAGCUCAACUGUUUUACAUGCCAUCGAUACUGAAGAGCUUGAGUUAUCAGAAAGGCAGGACGGAAUUUCUGGUGUAGCGGUGAAAUGCAUAGAUACCAGAGGAACACCU
rnacentral:rRNA from 1 species